UACAGAGGGGGCAAGCGUUAUUCGGAAUUAUUGGGCGUAAAGGGCGCGUAGGCGGCCUGGCAAGUGGAAGGUGAAAUCCCUCGGCUUAACCGAGGAACUGCCUCCCAAACUGCUUGGCUUGAGACCGGGAGAGGUGAGUGGAAUUCCCAGUGUAGCGGUGAAAUGCGCAGAUAUCAGGAGGAACACCGGUGGCGAAGGCGGUGGUCUGGGCCGGCACUGACGCUGAGGAGCGAAAGCGUGGGGAGCAAACGGG
rnacentral:rRNA from 1 species